AGCUCCAAUAGCGUAUAUUAAAGUUGUUGUGGUUAAAAAGCUCGUAGUUGGAUCUCAACAGCCUUGAAGCGGUUAACUUUGUAGUAUAAGGGCUAAGGAGGCUGGGGAUUUGAAGGAGGUUUAGGGGUGCUCUUGAUCGAGUGUCUCUGGAUGCCAGCAGGUUUACUUUGAAAAAAUUAGAGUGCUCAAAGCAGGCUAAAAUGCCUGAAUAUUCGUGCAUGGAAUAAUAGAAUAGGAUGUCGAUCCUAUUUUGUUGGUUUUCGGGACUCGACAUAAUGAUAAAUAGGGACAGUCGGGGGCAUUUGUAUUCAAACGACAGAGGUGAAAUUCUUGGACCGUUUGAAGACAAACUACUGCGAAAGCAUUUGCCAAGAAUGUUUUCA
rnacentral:rRNA from 1 species